AGCCACACUCAAAUCAACAUCAUGGCAGAAGGAGAAAAAUGUGGAUUCCAGACCUAUUGGGUCGGCUUCUGCGAUUUGCUGGCCAUACAGUGUUUUAGUCUCUAGCUUGUGUCUCAAGAUGCAAAUGUGAAAACAACAAGAAGAACCCCAUACAGUUGUCCACUUACUAUGGCUGGGCUCUGAAAAGUGAAAACUUCCUCCACUGUCUUCAUUUUCAAAAGAAGCUUUGAAUUGUUUGUGUAAACAAGCCUCCAUCACUAGUGCCUGGGUUGAACAAUUACACCAGAUAGCAUGGCCUGCAAAGAUCUCUCACCCUUAUGAAGAAGAAGAGUUUGUGAAGGAUGUAAUGGGCCACAUAAACGAAAGGUACCUGUAUUUGAAAAAGAAAAUGGAUGUCUUAGACUUUUCGUUGUUCCUCAUGCAUGGGCAAAAUUUGCAGAAAAUUUCACUGCAUGUAGAAAAAAGAAUAUUUCUAUAGAAUGAUACAG